CAGCAGCCGCGGGAAUACGUAGGUCCCGAGCGUUGUCCGGAUUUAUUGGGCGUAAAGCGAGCGCAGGCGGUUUGAUAAGUCUGAAGUUAAAGGCUGUGGCUCAACCAUAGUUCGCUUUGGAAACUGUCAAACUUGAGUGCAGAAGGGGAGAGUGGAAUUCCAUGUGUAGCGGUGAAAUGCGUAGAUAUAUGGAGGAACACCGGUGGCGAAAGCGGCUCUCUGGUCUGUAACUGACGCUGAGGCUCGAAAGCGUGGGGAGCGAACAGGAUUAGAUACCCCCGUAGUCCCUGUCUCUUAUACA
rnacentral:rRNA from 1 species